GGGAGCCCACGGUGCUGUGAGGUCUCAGGAGGCAGAGCUCUGGGGUGUCUGCACCAUGGCCUGGACCCCUCUGCUGCUCUCCCUUCUCACUCUCUGCACAGAUUCUGUGGUUUCCUCUGAGCUGACACAGCCUUCCUCGGUGUCUGUGGCCCUGGGACAGACGGCCACCAUCACCUGUCAGGGAGAUAUCUUGUUGAUAUCUGAUGAUGACUACGAGCAAGAAAAUGAUGUCCACUGGUACCAACAGAAGCCCGACCAGACCCCCGUGCUGGUCAUUAUUAGAUAUAGCAACCGGCCCUCAGGGAUCCCUGACCGAUUCUCAAGCUCCAGCUCAGGGAACACGGCCACCCUGACCAUCAGCAGGGCCCAGGCCCAGGAUGAGGCUGACUAUUACUGUCAGUCAUGGGGCAGCAGUGGUGAUGCUCACAGUGACACAGGACAAUGGGGAACCCGGCACCUUGUUUCUACCAGUGGCAGCACCGCCAAGCUCCUUGCCCCGAGUUAA